rnacentral:rRNA from 1 species
GAUGAACGCUGACAGAAUGCUUAACACAUGCAAGUCGAUGGGGAAGUGGUGCUUGCACCAUGGUAACCAUGGCGGACGGGUGAGUAACGCGUAAGGAACUUGCCUGCGGGACUGGGAUAACAGCAGGAAACUGCUGAUAAUACCGGAUAAGGUCAUUAAGCUGCAUAGCUUAGUGAUGAAAGGAGACGCCUGCGGAGAGCCUUGCGUCCUAUUAGCUAGUUGGAGGGGUAACGGCCCACCAAGGCGAAGAUAGGUAGCCGGCCUGAGAGGGUGGACGGCCACAAGGGGACUGAGAUACGGCCCUUACUCCUACGGGAGGCAGCAGUGGGGAAUAUUGGACAAUGGGGGCAACCCUGAUCCAGCAAUUCUGUGUGCACGAGGACGGUUUUCGGAUUGUAAAGUGCUUUCAGCAGGGAAGAAGGAAGUGACGGUACCUGCAGAAGAAGCGACGGCUAAAUACGUG